rnacentral:rRNA from 1 species
UGCGUAGGUGGUUAUUUAAGUCCGUUGUGAAAGCCCUGGGCUCAACCUGGGAACUGCAGUGGAUACUGGAUGACUAGAAUGUGGUAGAGGGUAGCGGAAUUCCUGGUGUAGCAGUGAAAUGCGUAGAGAUCAGGAGGAACAUCCAUGGCGAAGGCAGCUACCUGGACCAACAUUGGCACUGAGGCACGAAAGCGUGGGGAGCAAACA